rnacentral:rRNA from 1 species
UUGAACGCUGGCGGAAUGCUUUACACAUGCAAGUCGAGCGGCAGCGCGGGGGCAACCCUGGCGGCGAGCGGCGAACGGGUGAGUAAUACAUCGGAACGUACCCAGUUGUGGGGGAUAGCCCGGCGAAAGCCGGAUUAAUACCGCAUAAGUCCUGAGGGAGAAAGCGGGGGACCGUAAGGCCUCGCGCGAUUGGAGCGGCCGAUGUUCGAUUAGCUAGUUGGUGGGGUAAAGGCCUACCAAGGCGACGAUCGAUAGCUGGUCUGAGAGGACGACCAGCCACACUGGAACUGAGACACGGUCCAGACUCCUACGGGAGGCAGCAGUGGGGAAUUUUGGACAAUGGGCGAAAGCCUGAUCCAGCCAUGCCGCGUGAGUGAAGAAGGCCUUCGGGUUGUAAAGCUCUUUCAGCCGGAAAGAAAUCGCGCAGGCUAAUACUCUGCGUGGAUGACGGUACCGGAAGAAGAAGCACCGGCUAACUACGU